CACGUAGGGCGCGAGCGUUGUCCGGAAUUAUUGGGCGUAAAGAGCUCGUAGGCGGCCUGUUGCGUCCGCUGUGAAAGCCCGGGGGCUUAACCCCGGGUCGGCAGUGGAUACGGGCAGGCUAGAGGUAGGUAGGGGAGAAUGGAAUUCCCGGUGUAGCGGUGAAAUGCGCAGAUAUCAGGAGGAACACCGGUGGCGAAGGCGGGUCUCUGGGCCGAUACUGACGCUGAGGAGCGAAAGCGUGGGGGAGCGAACAGG
rnacentral:rRNA from 1 species